CAAUAGCGUAUAUUAAAGUUGUUGCAGUUAAAAAGCUCGUAGUUGAAUUUUUGCUUGCCGCCGAUGUCGGAACUUCCGUACGUUCGGCGGCGUGCAUCCUUGGGUGGAACCUGUGUGGCAUUAGGUUGUCGUGCAGGGGAUGCUCAUCGUUUACUGUGAAAAAAUUAGAGUGUUCAAAGCAGGCUUAUGCCGUUGAAUAUAUUAGCAUGGAAUAAUAAGAUAGGACCUUGGUACUAUUUUGUUGGUUUGCGCACCGAGGUAAUGAUUAACAGGGACAGUUGGGGGUAUUCGUAUUCCAUUGUCAGAGGUGAAAUUCUUGGAUUUCUGGAAGACGAACUACUGCGAAAGCAUUUACCAAGGAUGUUUUCAUUGA
rnacentral:rRNA from 1 species